GUCUCACUCCACACUCCACAGCACCCUCUGCUCCAUCAUUGAAAUGUGGCUGUGCCUCUCUCCAGAAUAUUUUUGAGGUCCCAAGACUUGGACAACCUGAAAUAUCUCAGGGCCUUCCUGUUACUCAUUAUGCCUGAAUCAGAGGGGAACUUCCAUGUCCUUUCCCAGCUGGAGAACACAGAUCCUGUGAGUCUGAGCUCUCUGAUUAUGGGGAUGGGGCCUGGGGUGGAUGACUGAAGGUGUGUGCAGAGGAAUCUCUGCUGGUGCCCCUGAGAUCUGCCAUAUGAUCCCAAGACACACAAGGCUGACAUCCUGCAACUGAUGGAACCUAGUCUGGGAAGAUGUCCUAUUGGGGAGGGCCUGGGCUAUUCUCAGAGGCAGCAUUCUAGUGUGAAUUAGGAAAGGCCCAAGGAAAGUCAGUCAUGUUGGGUGUUUUCUCCUGCAGCUCUAGCACCACCCCAAGUGAUGUAAUUGCCUCCAGCAGCCAUGGCCUAAUUUACCUGCUUAUAUUUUUGGAGCAUAUUAUCACAUUCCCUGUGAAGGAGGAGGAAUAGCCCUGAAAACCGAAGUUGGCCCUACACCAGCACUGAACACACAGGAAGAUAUGGAGCCAUGAGUGGCCACUGUAAACAUUCAGGAAGAGGAGACACCUUAGCUACAACUAAGCAAGUGAGUGUACAUUGAAUAUUAUCCUCCUCUUGAUGAUAUAUAUAUAAAUAUAUAUAUUUAUUUACAUAUGGUACUCCAAGCUGCCAUCCCAUCCUUUGAAAGAGAGCCACCUUUCCUGGCAGCAACUUAAAUUUCAGGCACCAAAACAACAGAGGCAGGAAGCCAAGAAAGUAUUAGGCCAGCAGCCCUCCACUUCUCCUGGAAUGUGUGCUCUCCACCCUAGUUCUAAUGUUUUCUAUGGCACCACCCACAUGUGACCUUCUGAGCAUUACCCAGUGCCAGACCCCCCAGCUCAUCUCUCCUUCCACUUCCCUCUGAGAUUGUCUAUUUUUUUGUGAUGGUAACUCUUUCAUUUUUAGGAUGGCAUUGUAAGUAUUUUUAGUGACAAUCUUUUAUGUUGACCUAAAAAUGCUCAUCCAUUCACCAGGCUGUGCCACCAUCAGCACUGUGUAACUGCUGGUGGAGCCCAUGUAGAGCUCAUGAUGCUGUGGGAGAGGACACAAACAGGCCAUUCUGGAGAAGGUGAGAUAGAGGCCCCUGUGUAUAGAGCAGAGGUGACUGCCUAAUGAGUGUUGAAGAUUUCAGGCCAUUAUAACUCAUACUGUGAUCUGUGAUAUUAACUAUUUUAACUGUCAUGUGGCACUAAAAAUCCUGUUCAUAUAAGAUAAAAACCUUAAUAUGUGCAUUCUUAUUGCUCCACAGAUCAUGGCUCACCAUCCUCUUAUUCUCCAAGACACACUAUUGAAGUUAGAACCAUUAAUAAAUCAGUAAUGGUCUGUACUAUUUAAAUAAAAGGAAGAGUCUUAUAUUUUGCACUUCACAUAAAAAGCUGUGCAUCUUGCACUACUUUGUCACACUUAUAAUGCAAAGGAAAUGUUCAUGAAGGAAAUUAAAGGGCUGCUCCAGGGCAUAUGUAAAUGACAAGAAAGCAAAUAACAGCAUUAUUUCUCAUUUGUAAAAAACUUUUCAUAGUGUGGAGAAAAGAAGAAACGACUCACGUUCCAUUCAGCCAAAGCCAAAUCCAGAUAAGGCCAUCACUUUAGAUUGUUCUACUGACAAGAGAAGUGAGAAAGCUGCAGAACAAGUUUGAAGGUGCCAGAGUUUGGUCCAUGAUGUUCUUGGCAAGAGGCUCCUCUCCAUAAAAUAAAAGUGCAAGGCAAAGAAGCAAGUGCUGAUGCAGAAGCUCUUGCAAGCCAUCAAGGAGGUCUUGCUAACCUAUUUGAUGAAGAUGUUUUGUGGGUUAGGUAGUAGGUGUCCCCAGAAGCUCACAGGUGAGCCAAUACAAGGUUUAUCCAUGAGAUGAUUCAGUUUUGAGAUCAGUGAGUUAAUCCCCUGACAGAAAUGAACAGGCAGCAGGCAUGGAAGGGCAUGUGAUGGACCCUUCCCAAGACUGGGGGUGCAGGUGGCACCUGUGGAAGUGUCCAGUGGCUGUGAAAUAAGUCUGGUAUCCAGGACUAAAGCCUAUAGAGGCCAGCCUUAGCAUUCCACAGCAGGGUUCCACAUUGGAGUUUCCCAGUGACCAGGAGCAGUGUCAGGAUUCUGUAGCAGGAGCAUCCAUCUGUGAGAAGGAUGUCAAACAGGAGUCCCAAGGCAUUUUGGGGAGCCCAGAUGUAUCAGUGGCAGGAUGGAGACUUGGCCUCAGGCUUGGAGGACAGCCAUGAGCAGGAGCCAGGGCAGUGAAGCCUUGGUGUUGGGCCUCUGUGGAAGUGUCAGUGUCUGGAGUUCAGUUAUGGCAGUGGUGGCAAAGGCAACUGAGGAGUCUGGAGAUGGCAGCAGCAAGCCAAGCAUCCAGACAGGAGCAUCCUUAUCCUCUGGUGGUGGUAGGAGUCUGGUCCCAAUGCAGUGGUGGUGGCUGCAGCAUUACUGGUGGCCAUGUGGGGACCCCAGUGGCCACAGUGUGGAACUCUGGUGAUGGUGACAGCAUGGGACAGUGGGCCUCAGACUCAGAGGGCGACUGGAGGCUGUGAUGGUCUCUGCAGUGGCUCCUCCAGGUGACUGGUCUUGCUGCUAGUAGGGCCUGCCUGCUCAGGAAGCAGGACACAGGAGCUGGUGGUACACAGACAGCUGCUGAGGACCUUAUACUGACCAGGCCAGCCAUGCCUGGCAUUGGCCUUGAGUCCACCAGGCAGCUCCUCACCUGAUCCUUGAGCCCCUCCCUGGGUUGUAGCCUCUAAGGGGUGAGUAGGCCAUCUGCCAGCUGGGGCAGACUUUGGAGAGGACACCCACCCUCCCCAGCCACAUCUCCCCUGGGCUGUGGCAGCAGAGUGCAGAGGUGGGAGGUGGGGGGGCCUAGGAAAUCCUCACCCUCCAAGCACAUCCUGGGGCAGGACAAGAGUGGAGGGCACAGGUGGCAGAGGGAGUCUAAGGGUGCAGAGCCCUCUGUCUUGGUCUUCUGCUGCCCUUAGCCACAGAAAUGGCUUUGGGGGUGAAGAUGUUCUAGGACCUCUGCUCUCUGUCCCCACAGUCCAUGCAGGAUGUGGCUGGGAACAGUGGGGUUCUCUCCUAAGGCCACCUCAACCUGGCAGAGAGCCUAGUUCCUCAGUAGAAGCUGUACCAGGGCAUGAGGUGAAGAGGAACCAAGUGGGCUCAUGGCCAGAGCGAGGCAUGGCAGCUGAGGGCAGAUAAGUUCCUGGAUUGCUGCCUGGGUACUGUGGUCUCCCAUAUGCUUCUUCCUGAGCAGGCCAAGUCCACCAGGAGAAAGACCAGGGCCUGGAGCUUCCAGAGGCCAUCUUAGCUACUGGUCACCUUCUCACUCUGAUGCCCACUAUCCCAUGCCCUCACGACCACUGCCAGCCUGGAGCUCUUUGCUGUAGCCACCCAGAUUCCCCACAUGGCCACUGGAUGCCACAUUCACCACCCUGCAGCCGGACCCCAAUUACUGCUGCAGGAAUGAGAUGCUCACUGCUGGACACUGCCUGUUGUUGCUGCCCCUGCUUCUGGGCUCUUCUGGUGCCACCACCAUCAUGCAUCAAUUGAACUUUCAAACUCCAGCUGGACUCUGACACUGACCACCAAGGACCCAACGUCACUGCACUUCACCCCAAGCCUGAUAUCCGACCCUUAUACUGAGGACCCCUGAUGCAGGUGCAUGUUGCUCUCACCCCUGCCAGACUCUGGAGCUCCACCCUGCUGCCACCAGACUUUAACAUGGACACCAGACAGUGAUGCUCAGCACUGGAUGCCAACUUCAUUGCAACUGCAGCCAGACUCUUGUCACUAUGGCAGGAUGACAACUCUCAGGACUGGAUGACUCUGUUGUCACACCACUGUUUCUGGAUUCUUCCACAGUCACCGCCACCAUGAGUAGGAAGCAAGGUACACAGCUGCAUGCUGACACAUCCACAGACACCCACACCCCAUUCCAAUACUGCAGUCCUGACUUUUGAUGCCUGAUGCCCUAUGCUAAAAGUGGCUGGAUGCUGCUAUGGCCACAAGAUGCCCCAUUUCAUGAUGGUGCCAUUGGAGUGAAUUGACUCCAAGGCUUCUGGUCUGCUCAAGAUAUACAAGAGCUAGGAAACUGGGCAUUAUCCAUCACAGUCACCUCACCAUGCUGCCUGCCUAUCGCCCCCCCCCCCCCCACCCCCGGACCAACCACGACUCCUCAGGACCCUUGAGGAGUUAUGACUCUAACUCAGGGAAUUCAUCCAAAUAAACUAGUGAGCAAUGAAAUAAAGGCUGAGGUCCUCACAGCAGGCAGUGUGUGGGUCUAGGUGGGUCCAGCUCACUGCUGAGGGAGCAGGGUCAGAGCCUGGGAGCUGCUGACCAGGUCUGGACCUGAUCCUGUAGGGCAAGCUGGAGAGGGAUCUCUGGAUACUCUGGGAGUCCAGCCCUGGAAGCCCCUUCUGGUCCUUUCUCCUAAACUUCCCACCACGUCUUCUUCCCCUAUCCCCCACUCCUCCCUGAGGGGACUCUGUGUCCUGGACAUGGGGCCAUAUGGGCACUGGGUCUCUGGGCAGUGGUGUGAGGCCUGAGCACAUUGCAGCAGGCUGGGGACAGCCAGACUGGCCAUACCUGAACUUGGAGAAAAACAACCCAUUUGGAAAAUACCCUCCUAGAUCUACCAAAUUUAGCCUAACUCUGGCUUCUUCCAAGAGAUUAUCAAGAAAGAAAAAAUAUAAGUUAGCAAGUUUUGUCUGGCUAAGGGGUAUUGUGAGGAGGGGUAAAGACUUCAGAAUGGGUAGAGCUGGAUACAACCUUGGGUUUGCAUCUGGUAAAGUAAAGAUGGUGAGGAGGAUAAGCCAAGGGUAAAUUAAGCUGCUAAGCACUGCCUAAACUUUGGGAUCCAA
rnacentral:lncRNA from 1 species